rnacentral:rRNA from 1 species
UACAUGGGGUGCAAACGUUGCUCGGAAUCAUUGGGCGUAAAGCGCGCGUAGGCGGUUAUCUAAGUCGGAUGUGAAAGCCCUCGGCUUAACUGAGGAAGUGCAUCCGAAACUGAAUAGCUAGAGUACGAAAGAGGGUCGCGGAAUUCCCGGUGUAGAGGUGAAAAUUCGUAGAUAUCGGGAGGAACACCGGUGGCGAAGGCGGCGACCUGGGUCGAGACUGACGCUGAGGCGCGAAAGCGUGGGG